rnacentral:rRNA from 1 species
CCCUUAGAUGUCCUGGGCCGCACGCGCGCUACAAUGACUCACUCAGAAAGUUUUUCCUGAUCCGGAAGGAUUCGGGUAAUCUUCAUAGCAUGAGUCGUGUUAGGGAUCGAUCUUUGCAAUUAUAGAUCUUGAACGAGGAAUGCCUAGUAAGUGCAGCUCAUCAGGCUGUACUGAUUACGUCCCUGCCCUUUGUACACACCGCCCGUCGCUCCUACCGAUUGGGUGUGCUGGUGAAAUGUUCGGAUCGGCCGUUUGUCGCGGUUUCCGCGUCAUGUGGCUGAGAAGUUCAUUAAACCCUCCCACCUAGAGGAAGGAGAAGUCGUAACA